UAUGUCUGUUGUCUGCUAGUUCUGUUGUCUGCUGGCUCAGUUGUAUGCUGGCUCAUCUGCUAGCUCUGUUGUCUGCUAGCUCUGUUGUCUGCUGGCUCAGUUGUCUUCUUGCUCUGUUAUCUGCUAGCUCUGUUGUCUGCUAUGUCUGUUAUCUGCUGGCUCAGUUGUAUGCUGGCUCGUCCGCUAGCUCUGUUGUCUGCUAGGUCUCUUGUCCGCUAGCUCUGUUGUCUGCUGGCUCUGUUGUAUGCUGGCUCUGUUGUCUGUUAGGUCUCUUGUCCGCUAGCUCUGUUGUAUGCUGGCUCGUCCGCUAGCUCUGUUGUAUGCUAGCUCUGUUGUAUGCUAUGUCUGUUGUCUGCUAGUUCUGUUGUCUGCUGGCUCACUUGUAUGCUGGCUCACUUGUAUGCUAUGUUCUGUUAUCUGCUGGCUCAGUUGUAUGCUGGCUCGUCCGCUAGCUCUGUUGUCUGCUAGGUCUCUUGUCCGCUAGCUCUGUUGUCUGCUGGCUCUGUUGUAUGCUGGCUCUGUUGUCUGUUAGGUCUCUUGUCCGCUAGCUCUGUUGUAUGCUGGCUCGUCCGCUAGCUCUGUUGUAUGCUAGCUCUGUUGUAUGCUAUGUCU
rnacentral:sRNA from 1 species